rnacentral:rRNA from 1 species
UACGUAGGGUGCAAGCGUUGUCCGGAAUUAUUGGGCGUAAAGAGCUCGUAGGCGGUUUGUUGCGUCGGCUGUGAAAACUCGGGGCUCAACCCCGAGCCUGCAGUCGAUACGGGCAGACUAGAGUGAUGUAGGGGAGACUGGAAUUCCUGGUGUAGCGGUGAAAUGCGCAGAUAUCAGGAGGAACACCGGUGGCGAAGGCGGGUCUCUGGGCAGUAACUGACGCUGAGGAGCGAAAGCGUGGGGAGCAAACAGG